ensembl:lncRNA
CAACGCCUCAUUUGAUGUCCUGAGCUCUGUCACAGUGUAGCAAAUGCCCAGAUGUUCUGAAAAUCUCUCUGGAAUAUUUGCAGUUGCUUCUGACUGUUGUUGUCUGGGCCUGUGCUACCCAGGUCUCCAGGAAGUGGCAGAAAACUGAGGCCAUGCUGUCCCAUACCUCUUCCUUUCUGCUUCUGGAACCUCCCUGCUCUGAAGCCUCUGUAUCACAGUAACAUGAAUUUCCCUGCACAGGAUGGAAGCGUAGAAGAAUUAUGCAUCCACACCUUGCCAGGCCCUGGUGGACCAUCUCCAUUCACCGUGCAGGGCCAGCUACGGUAUUUUUAGCACUUAGCCUUGAGGAAAGUGCUUAUCACACGUGAAUCCUCCAACCACCUUCAUUGUACCUUAAGCGAGGUUGAAGGCACAACUCCUGGUGAAGCAACUGGGACCCACUCCAGAGCAACAACGAAUCCUGCCGACAGAGAAGUGCUAAUACCUGCUGAUGAGUCCUUCUCUUUCCUUAAAGAACAACAACACCAAAAUAGACAAAAAGAAGUUCGUAUUCCAGCUGGGAGAAGAGAGAAAUCAUGUCCAAACUCAGGAUCUUUAAAUGACUGUGACUCCAUCCACUCUACAACCAAGAUCAG